rnacentral:rRNA from 1 species
UACGGAGGGUGCAAGCGUUAUCCGGAUUCACUGGGUUUAAAGGGUGCGUAGGCGGGCAGGUAAGUCAGUGGUGAAAUCUUUGGGCUUAACCCAAAAACUGCCAUUGAUACUAUCUGUCUUGAAUAUUGUGGAGGUGAGCGGAAUAUGUCAUGUAGCGGUGAAAUGCUUAGAUAUGACAUAGAACACCCAUUGCGAAGGCAGCUCACUAGGCAUAUAUUGACGCUGAGGCACGAAAGCGUGGGGAGCAAACAGG